rnacentral:lncRNA from 1 species
GACAGGAGUAGAGCUGCAGGGUGCUCUGCACUGCAGCUAGUAGCAGUCGAGUGCAUGCGUGUGGGAUACGACCAUCUGCUUGCUCCUGCAACUCUGCUGCUACUGUGUCAUUACGUGCAGUGCGUGGAUAUGGCAAAGCCCAAACCUGCCCCGGCUGGGAAGAUAGAGCACAGGGAUUCGAAUCUUUUCUCGGCCAGUGCCGACGAUGAUGCUAUCAGCGUGCUCGAUCUCACCUUGUUUGUUUGUUUCUGCUGCCACCUGCCAUGGUAGCACUUUGAUCGAUUUCAUGGUUCGAUCAGAGAAGUACUAGCAUUUUC